rnacentral:rRNA from 1 species
UGGAUCCAGACUUUGUUAUGGCUCAGGACGAACGCUGGCGGCACGCUUAACACAUGCAAGUCGAACGGAGAUAAGUGAGUUUACUUAUUUAUCUUAGUGGCGGACGGGUGAGUAACACGUGAGCAACCUGCCUUUGAGAGAGGGAUAGCUUCUGGAAACGGAUGGUAAUACCUCAUGGCAUAGUGAAACCGCAUGAUUUUACUAUCAAAGAUUUAUCACUCGAAGAUGGGCUCGCGUCUGAUUAGAUAGUUGGUGAGGUAACGGCUCACCAAGUCGACGAUCAGUAGCCGGACUGAGAGGUUGAACGGCCACACUGGGACUGAGACACGGCCCAGACUCCUACGGGAGGCAGCAGUGGGGAAUAUUGCACGAUGGGGGAAACCCUGAUGCAGCGAUGCCGCGUGGAGGAAGAAGGUUUUCGGAUUGUAAACUCCUGUCUUAAAGGACGAUAAUGACGGUACUUUAGGAGGAAGCUCCGGCUAACUACGUGCCAGCAGCCGCGGUAAUACGUAGGGAGCGAGCGUUGUCCGGAAUUACUGGGUGUAAAGGGAGCGUAGGCGGGACGGUAAGUCAGAUGUGAAAUAUAUGGGCUCAACCCAUAAACUGCAUUAGAAACUGCUGUUCUUGAGUGAAGUAGAGGUAAGCGGAAUUCCUGGUGUAGCGGUGAAAUGCGUAGAUAUCAGGAGGAACACCGGUGGCGAAGGCGGCUUACUGGGCUUUUACUGACGCUGAGGCUCGAAAGCGUGGGUAGCAAACAGGAUUAGAUACCCUGGUAGUCCACGCUGUAAACGAUGAUUACUAGGUGUGGGGGGACUGACCCCUUCCGUGCCGCAGUUAACACAAUAAGUAAUCCACCUGGGGAGUACGGCCGCAAGGUUGCAACUCAAAUGAAUUGACGGA